rnacentral:lncRNA from 1 species
AUGGCAAGAUGGAGCACGCAUCUGAGGGAGGGAAGGGUUGUACCUGGUAUUUUCCACAGCCCCCGGAGUGCAGCUGUACCCAUUUACCGCCUUUGGUUCACUAGCACCUGGGGAGAGGACAGAAGCACAAUGACCGUGUGCCUCAGGAACAGGACAGCAAGGACUUCCACCCGCAGGUCAGCCUGGAUACUGCAGCCGAGGGGUGUCCUGAGCUUUGUGGCAGAACCAGCCAGAGCAGCAGUUCCAUCUGCAACGCGCCUGUAUCCAGCCCUGCUCAGAAACAUUGUGGAAGACAUCCAGUCGUGCAUGACAGUUGGGAGUCAAAAAGUCCAUCUCUAUAUUACCUAA